GAUGAACGCUGGCGGCGUGCCUAAUACAUGCAAGUCGAGCUAACAGAUGAUGAGCUUGCUCCUCUGACGUUAGCGGCGGACGGGUGAUUAACACGUGGAUAACCUACCUAUAAGACUGGGAUAACUUCGGGAAACCGGAUCUAAUACCGGCUAAUAUAUUUAACGGCAUCUAUCAAUAGUGAAAGAGGGCUUUGCGUUCACUUAGAGAGGUGUCCGGGUCGAAUUAGCUAGUUGGUAGGGUAACGGGUUGCCCAGGCAACGGUGCCUGGCCGACAUGAGCGGGUGGUGGGGCAGACCGGAAAUGAGAAACGGUCAAGACUCCUACGGGAGGCAGCAGUAGGGAAUACUGCGGAAUGGGCGAAAGAAUGACGGAGAAACGACGAGUGAGUGAAGACGGCAUUCGGAUCGUAAAAAUCUGUUAUUAGGGAAGAAAAAAUGUGUACGUAACUAUGCAAGUCUUGAAGGUACCCAACAAAAAAGCCACGGCUAAAUACGUG
rnacentral:rRNA from 1 species